UAAAGAAUGCUUUCAGCACCUUGUUGAAUCAAUGCCACGUAGAAUUAAGGCAGUUCUGAAGGCAAAAGGGCGUCAAACACCGUAUUAGUAUGGUGUUCCUAAUAAUCCUUUAGGUGAGUGUAUGUCUGAGCCCUGGUGGCCAGUCUUCCCUGAUUGCUCUUUCUGAUGGAAUGGACAGAGUGUGAAGGUUGAAUUAGCACAGCGAUAGCAGUUGUUCAUGCGGUAUGAGUCUGCACAGCAUGACAUGCGUAAGAGUCCGAAAGACGGCAGAUUGUUGGUGUGUCUCAGGCCUUUUUGGUAUAUCGACAGCCACAGUAUCCCGGGUUGCCUGCAUAUCACCACGAAGGACAGACCAUGUCCAACAGGGGUAACUGUGGACGCAAUAGGAAGCUGUCUGGAAGGGAUAUCUGGGUACUAACCUAGAUUGUGUGCGAAAACAACAAAACCACAGCUGCCCAACUCGCUGCAGAAUUAAACAUGCCCCUCGUCUCCUGUUCCCACCAAAGCUGUUCAUUAGGAGCUCCACAGGGUCGGUCAUGGUCACCCUGUGAUAGCCAAUCCUUUGGUCACUUGUGCCAGUGCUGGACGCCUGUUUCAGUGGUGCUGUGUAUCAGGAUGAUGAUGCAUCAGUACAUACAGUAGGAAUGGUGGCAGGGUGGUUUGAUAAACAUGAAAAUGCUAAAUGCCUGCAGUCACCAGAUCUGAUGAUAUUGCGCCACUUUGGGGUGUUUUGGAGGAGCGAGUCAGGAAACGUUUCCCAAGAAGAACUGAUGCUUUGUUGCCUGCAAAAGGAGACCCUACACCAUACUAAUGCCCAGGGCCGUGCAGAGACGUUUAAAGGGGCCGGUGCUCAAAGUUAAAAAACAUAGAACAGGCUGAAUAACAACAACUCGUAUUCAUGACGAAUCUAAUAUGGAAUUAUAUGGAUAUCCAUAUUAGAUCGUUUUUAGUGAAAUAAAAGCUCUCCAGAAAAGAAGGGAAAAGUCCUGUAACUUACUUUAAAGCAAACCAUGUUCCCUAAAACGGUGGACAGAGCUACAGACCCCCUUGUAACACCCUUACCUGGUUAACUAGCAGCUAAUGACCACCAUUACUUGUGCAGUUGUUCAUAAAAGGACAGGUAAUGCUUGUCGCGCUGUUGCACAAACAGCAAGCUCAUUUAUUUCAAUUCAUUUGUUAUAGACUAUAGUGUGCGCUGUACACCCUAUUUACUGUUUUGUUGCAGUCUGCACCUUCCAACUAAUUUGCCUGCUUCUCCUCCAGCUCCGCACCACCCAGCCUGCAGAAAAUGCACGUGCACUUUGCGAGCUCGUACCCGGCUCGUAACGAGCGCGCUCUGCCCUCAAGGGCGAGCAUUGGUUAAUGGCAGUCAUGUGACUGAUGCAAGCCAGAUCCUUGUAUUUGGCAAAAUUGAGAUUAAUAGUUACAUUUUAUUGUUGAGGGGCAAAGACAGGGCUCCAUACACACAUACACAUAAAAAAAAAAACCAAGAAAAGCGCUCUUGAGGCAUCCUGGAGGAAAGGGGCGGGUGCUCAAGCACCCUCUGCCCCCCCCCUCUGCACGUGCCUGCUAAUACCUUAUUAUGGUCUAACACCAGGUGUCAGUUUCAUUGUCCAGCCCAUUAGCCUGGCAGGAAGCCUAGCCCAUUAGCCUGGCAGGAAGCCUGACCCAUUUGAUAGGGUUGCUCUGUGCACAAAGGCUGAAGAAUGGUGAGUGGACCGACCGCAAUUCAGGGAUCACUUCAAAGAGGGGUAGCCAGGCUGUUCCACUGGCAAUGUCUUACGCGGUGAUCCAACAUUUACUGCCCACAAGGACCUGAUAUAGAUUCUGGAAGGCCAUGGGGAGGUCAGUCGGCAACCAAAACUCUUCCUUCUGGCUGGAGAUGUGCCAAGCUUAUGGAACUGCAGAGUCGCUUAAAUCUUUGCCAUGCUGCACUUUGGUCAGGUUGUCUGCUGCCCCUGGGUCUAUUUUUAUUUUGAAUCAUCCUUUUAUAAAUUUGUAUUACAAUUUAGUAGGUUGUGCUUUGUAGCAUUGUGACCCUGUGUGAUACAGAGAACUGUUUCUGCACCUUUUUAAAUCUGCAAUUGACUGCUUUAAUAAUGCAUGUAAUUUGUUCAUUGCAAGUGAAAUAAAGUCCCUUUUUCAUUCAC